CGGGCCAUUGGCAUAUUCCAGUUAAGCGCCAUCUGCAAUUUGUGGCACAGUCAGUGCCGUUUGGGGCCAUCAGCAAGAAGCAGGAUUGUAACGUCCAGCCAAAUUGCUGCUAUGUGACCUUUGCGUGAGGCAAUAAGUUAUAAAAUAAAAAAAUAUGCAACAGCAA